rnacentral:lncRNA from 1 species
UUAUGUACAUAUAAAUAUUUAUACAUGUAUAACUAUAACCGUUUGAAAUACGCUUAUUCAUCCUUUUCCAUAUAAAUUUUAUUAGAGGAACAGAUGCUGCUAUAUUUUCACGAGUUUUACAAGUCUAUUUCAAAAAACGAAACAGAACGGGCUCAAAAGAUAUUUAAUGAUAUGACUCAGGACAUGAAAAAAUUUUUUGUCAUAUAUGACAAAAAGAAUAAAAAUGACUUAAUUGAAAAAAUAAAGCAGUCUUUUAAAAAAGAUCAUAAUGACAUAAAUAUAAUAGAUAUUAAAAAAAACAACGAUAAAGAAGAUAUAGGGACUAACAAACUUGAUAACUACUCCACUUGUGACAAUUUAAAUAAUAAUAUCAGUGACAAUACUCUAAACACAAAUUAUUAUAAGAACAAAUAUGAACUAGGAAAAGAAUAUGAGAAUAAUUUUACAAACCAUAAUACGUUUUUAAAUACAAAUUUAUUUGAUGACAUAAAUAUAAAAGACAUAGAGAAAGAGCAAUAUAACUUUGAUAUUAUAUAUUUAUAUCAAAAAUAUGUUAUGGAAAAAAUAGAGGGGGGAGGUGAAAAGGAACAAGCUGUUCCAGAGCGGAUUAUGUCAGAGCAAACCAUGUCAAAGCAAACCAUGUUAGACACCAAAACCAAAACAAGCAUAUCAAACGAAUCAAAUUUUUACGGAACGUUCGAAUAUUUCAUUAAUUUAUUGUGUUUAUUAUAUUUUUUAAAAAAUAUAUAUUUCGAUUUAAAUUAUAAAACAACAAAAAAUGCAUAUUCUUUUUUAUUCAAAGGUUUUGAAGAAAGAAAAAAUAAAAUUAUCAACUAUUUGUUUUUUCUUAAAAAAAUAAAAAUGUAUAUAAUUAUGGAUAAUGAAAUUAUAAAAAUAUAUUGUAAUUAUUUUCAAUAUAUUUAUAUUAACGAAUAUUUAAUUCGGAAUAUAUUUGAUGUGUCAAUGAAUACUUUUAUUUUUACUGCUGUAAUAAAUUUUCAAAACAAAUAUGCAAAAAUGGAAUCAAAAACUCAUGAUAGUAUACCACCAAUUGGUAGUGAUACUAACGACCAAAUUAGUCUUAAUCAUAGCGUAAGUCCUACUUCUACCUUUACUUCUUCAGAUAAUCAGAACAUUUUUAAAGUCAAUGACAACAGCAACAGUGAAAGCGGUAUUAGUAACAAUCAUAAUAAAAUAUAUAAAAACAAUUUUGAAAAUACAAACGAUGUGAUAAAAGAUAAAAACGACACAUAUGAUGAUACUAAUGAUGAUGAUUAUAAAAAAAGUUAUGCAUAUACAAAAUUAAGUACUACAUUUGUUUCGAAUGAAAAUAAGAAUAAAAAAAGUAAAGGAUUAUAUAUAGAAACAAUAUACAAACUUUGUGAUAUUGACGAUAUUUAUUCAAGCAAACGAAUUAAUAACUUAUUUUAUUUUUUUAAUAAUCCUUAUUUAAUUUUUACAUUUCAUAAAAAUGUUUUGUAUUAUAUUGAACAAAAAAAUAAUGAAAAAAAUUUUUUUUCAUUUUAUAAAAAUUCAUAUUCUCUAAUUAAAUAUCUGAAUCAUAGUAUAACAACCAUUUCAAAAAUUUUACAUAUAUUUGUAACUGCUGGUAUCUUUUUUAAUAGAAAUAUUAUGAAACAACAAAAAAAUAAAUAUUUAAACUUUUAUAAAUUAUUAAAUUUUAAUAAUAGUAUUUUUAACAGUUUGAGGCAGAGCGAAAAAGAGAAAGAGAAAGAGAAAGAGAAAGAGAAAGAGAAGGAGAAAAGGGAAAAUGAUAGACAUAAUAAAGAAAUACAAAAAUUGCAUGACCGAGACACGUACAAAGUAGGAAAUCCUAUCAAUGCUAAUGCUAGUAACGCUAUUCAUAACAAUAGCAAUGGAACAUAUAAUGGAACCGGAAACAAUACUCUCAAGCACGACCAAAGUCUUAGUCAGGGUAAGAUCCCAAAUCACUUAAAUAACAACAACAAUUUAUUCGAAUACAAUACGUUUUCGUCCGAAUUAGAACAAAAUUUUAUGAAUUACUCGUAUAAUAAAAAAUUAGUACAAAACGACGAGUACCCAAAUAAUAGUAGAAAUCAAGAAAGCUCUAUUUAUAACACAGAUAUAAAUUUUGAAAACACGAAUAUAUAUGAUUUUAACAUUAUUAAAUAUUUAAAUAAGUANNNNNNNNNNNNNNNNNNNNNNNNNNNNNNNNNNNNNNNNNNNNNNNNNNNNNNNNNNNNNNNNNNNNNNNNNNNNNNNNNNNNNNNNNNNNNNNNNNNNAACAAUAAUAAAAAUAAUAAUAAUAAAAAUAAUAACAAUAAUAAUAAUAAUAACAAUUUUAAUAAACAACAAGAAAAAUUAAAUGAACAAAAUAUAAAUCAAGGGGAAAAAAAUUUAUAUAAUUAUGAUAGUAGUAUUAGUACUAAGUAUAAAAAAAGAAAAAAAAAAAAAAAAAUGCAUGAAUCAUAUAAAAACAGUGUACCUUUUUUUAAAGAAAAUAAUACAUACAUGUUAGGUAGGAUGAAAAAAAACGAACAAUAUGACAACGGACACGAUUCGUAUGAAUACGAUAGCUCUGACAUGAAUAGUGAGACUUAUUGGAGCAAAAGAAGUAAUAACAAAUAUUAUGAAAAGAACCAAAAAAAUUAUACUCAAAGAAGCAAAUACAAUAGUAGUUGUAGUAGUGAUAAUACUACUAACAACUACGAAAAUGAAAAUGACAAAAUGCAUUUCAAUAAUAUGAAUGACGUAAAAAGAAGUAACGUUGAUUGGGAACAUCCCCACGGUAUAAGUAAGUAUAAAAUGAGACGACAACAAGAGGAAAGUGGUCAUAUAAGCAGUGUUAGUAAUAAUAGUAAUAAUAGUAGGAGUAGUAGUAGUAGUAGUAGUAGUGGUGGUAGUAGUGGAACUGGUAGUAGCAGUAAUCCUAGUAGUCAUACAACCGACUACGAAAGGAAGGAAAAAACGUUAGAAAAACAUGGUAAUUACGGAAGAGGCAAAGGUAAAAGCAAUUUCAACUAUAACAGCACAUUCAAAAAGGAAAAUUCAUUUAAAAGCAACCAAAUAAAUGAAUCCAUUUUUAACGACAUACUUAAGAAAGUAAAAAAAAAAAAAAAAUUCUAUGAGGUCAUAGCAAACAUGAACAAAAUGAAAACAUGCUUUGACUUAAGUGCGAUAAAUAAAAAUAAAAAUAUAAAUUAUAAUUAUGUUGAAAAUGUUGACAGCAUUCCUUAUUUUAUCAGUAUAAUUAAUUCAAAUAACAUUUUCCAAUAUGAUUUUUAUUUUUUAAAAUUCAUAACAGAAGUAACUAAUAUUUAUAAUAUGUAUAU